CCUGUUUAACAAAAACAUGUCUUUUUGAGUUAUUUUUAAAGUCUGACCUGCCCACUGAAGUUAUUUAAAUGGCCGCAGUAUUCUAACUGUGCAAAGGUAGCAUAAUCAUUAGUCUUUUAAUUGAAGGCUGGUAUGAACGGUUGGACGAGGUAUAAGCUGUUUCAUAUAAAUUUAUAAUAGAAUUUUAUAUUUUAGUCAAAAAGCUAAAAUUUAAUUAAAAGACGAGAAGACCCUAUAAAUCUUUAUACUUUACAUUGUUUAAAUUUUUUAGAUUAAUUUUAUUUUUAUAAUUUAAAGUAUUUUGUUGGGGUGAUAUUAAAAUUUAAUGAACUUUUAAUUAUUUAGAAUCAUUAAUUUAUGAGUUAUUGAUCCAUUAGUAGUGAUUAUAAGAUUAAGUUACUUUAGGGAUAACAGCGUAAUUUUUUUGGAGAGUUCAUAUCGAUAAAAAAGUUUGCGACCUCGAUGUUGGAUUAAGAUAUAUUUUUAGGUGUAGUCGCUUAAAU
rnacentral:rRNA from 1 species